CGGAGAGUUUGAUCCUGGCUCAGGAUGAACGCUGGCGGUCUGCUUAACACAUGCAAGUCGAACGGGAGUAGAAAUACUCUAGUGGCGGACGGGUGAGUAACGCGUGAGAAUCUGCCCUUAGGUCGGGGACAACCAUUGGAAACGAUGGCUAAUACCGGAUAAGCCGAGAGGUAAAAGAUUAAUUGCCUAGAGAAGAGCUCGCGUCUGAUUAGCUAGUUGGUGGGGUAAAGGCUCACCAAGGCAUCGAUCAGUAGCUGGUCUGAGAGGAUGACCAGCCACACUGGGACUGAGACACGGCCCAGACUCCUACGGGAGGCAGCAGUGGGGAAUUUUCCGCAAUGGGCGAAAGCCUGACGGAGCAAGACCGCGUGAGGGAGGAAGGCUCUUGGGUUGUAAACCUCUUUUCUUGGGGAAGAACUCAAUGACGGUACCCAAGGAAUCAGCAUCGGCUAACUCCGUGCCAGCAGCCGCGGUAAUACGGAGGAUGCAAGCGUUAUCCGGAAUUAUUGGGCGUAAAGCGUCCGCAGGUGGCAUUUCAAGUCUGCUGUCAAAGGCCGGGGCUUAACCCUGGAAAGGCAGUGGAAACUGAGAAGCUAGAGUGUCGUAGGGGUAGAGGGAAUUCCUGGUGUAGCGGUGAAAUGCGUAGAGAUCAGGAAGAACAUCGGUGGCGAAAGCGCUCUACUGGACGACAACUGACACUCA
rnacentral:rRNA from 1 species